rnacentral:rRNA from 1 species
GGUUUAAACGACUCGCCCUUAGAGUUUGAUUAUGGCUCAGAACAAACGCUGGGCGGCGUGUCUUAAGCAUGCAAGUCGAGCGGUAGGCGUAGCAAUACGCUGAGAGCGGCGGACUGGUGAGUAACGCGUGGAUGAUCUACCGUUAGGGCAUGGGGAUAGCCACUAGAAAUAGUGGGUAAUACCGAAUACGUUUGCACAGGUGAAGCUGUGUAAAGAAAGGAUCCUACGGGGUCGGCCUAACGAUGAGUCUGCGUCCCAUUAGCUAGUUGGUGAGGUAAAGGCCCACCAAGGCGAUGAUGGGUAGCCGGCCUGAGAGGGUGUACGGCCACACUGGGACUGAGAUACGGCCCAGACUCCUACGGGAGGCAGCAGCUAAGAAUAUUCCGCAAUGGACGAAAGUCUGACGGAGCGACGCCGCGUGGAUGAAGAAGGCCGCAAGGUUGUAAAAUCCUUUUGCUGGGGAAGAAUAAGUCCAGGAGGGAAUGCCUGGAUGAUGACAUGAACCGGCGAAUAAGCCCCGGCCAACUACGUGCCAGCAGCCGCGGUAACACGUAGGGGGCAAGCGUUGUUCGGAAUUACUGGGCGUAAAGGGCAUGUAGGCGGUUUAGUAAGCUUGGCGUGAAAGACCACAGCUCAACUGUGGGGUUGCGUUGAGAACUGCUGAACUUGAGUUACGGAGAGGGAGCUAGAAUUCCUGGUGUAGGGGUGGAAUCUGUAGAGAUCAGGAAGAAUACCGAUGGCGAAGGCAAGCUUCUGGCCGAUAACUGACGCUGAGGUGCGAAAGUGUGGGGAUCAAACAGGAUUAGAUACCCUGGUAGUCCACACGGUAAACGAUGUACACUAGGUGCUGGUGCGGAUGCAUCAGGGCCGAAGCGAACGCGCUAAGUGUACCGCCUGGGGAGUAUGCUCGCAAGGGUGAAACUCAAAGGAAUUGACGGAAGGCGAAUUCGCG